rnacentral:ncRNA from 1 species
AAAAUGUUCCAUGUGAACAUAACUUGGAAAUGGGUUAGUCGAUCCUCAGAUAUGGGGAAUCCUUGUAUCAAGGGUUCACUCUGCAUGAACAUCGAAAGAGAAUUGGGUUAAUAUUCCCAAACCGGGACAUGGUGGUGGGUGACAAUGUUAGAAAAUAUGGAGAUGUCAUCGGGGGCCUGGGAAGAGUUAUCUUUUCUUUUUAAUGACUUUCCCACCCUGAAAUUGGUUCAACCAGAGAUAGGGUCCAACAUCUAGAAGUGCACCACAUGUCUUGUGGUGUUUGGUGCCCCCUCAAUGGCCACUAAAAAUAUGGAGAACCAAGUACCAUCCAUGCCCAAUCGUACUCAUAUCUGCCUCCUUGGAUU